rnacentral:rRNA from 1 species
GUUAAGCGACUAAGCGUACACGGUGGAUGCCCUGGCAGUCAGAGGCGAUGAAGGGCGUGCUAAUCUGCGAUAAGCGCCGGUAAGGUGAUAUGAACCGUUAUAACCGGCGAUACCCGAAUGGGGAAACCCAGUGUGACUCGUCACACUAUCAUUAACUGAAUCCAUAGGUUAAUGAGGCGAACCGGGGGAACUGAAACAUCUAAGUACCCCGAGGAAAAGAAAUCAACCGAGAUUCCCCCAGUAGCGGCGAGCGAACGGGGAGGAGCCCAGAGCCUGAAUCAGCAUGUGUGUUAGUGGAAGCGUCUGGAAAGGCGCGCGAUACAGGGUGACAGCCCCGUACACAAAAGCGCAUGUGCUGUGAGCUCGAUGAGUAGGGCGGGACACGUGGUAUCCUGUCUGAAUAUGGGGGGACCAUCCUCCAAGGCUAAAUACUCCUGACUGACCGAUAGUGAACCAGUACCGUGAGGGAAAGGCGAAAAGAACCCCGGCGAGGGGAGUGAAAAAGAACCUGAAACCGUGUACGUACAAGCAGUGGGAGCACAGGUUUACCUGUGUGACUGCGUACCUUUUGUAUAAUGGGUCAGCGACUUAUAUUCUGUAGCAAGGUUAACCGAAUAGGGGAGCCGGAGGGAAACCGAGUCUUAAUUGGGCGUUAAGUUGCAGGGUAUAGACCCGAAACCCGGUGAUCUAGCCAUGGGCAGGUUGAAGGUUGGGUAACACUAACUGGAGGACCGAACCGACUAAUGUUGAAAAAUUAGCGGAUGACCUGUGGCUGGGGGUGAAAGGCCAAUCAAACCGGGAGAUAGCUGGUUCUCCCCGAAAGCU